GCCGAACGCUGGCGGCGUGCUUAACACAUGCCAGUCGAACGGAAAGGCCCUGCUUUUGUGGGGUGCUCGAGUGGCGAACGGGUGAGUAACACGUGAGUAACCUGCCCUUGACUUUGGGAUAACUUCAGGAAACUGGGGCUAAUACCGGAUAGGAGCUCCUGCUGCAUGGUGGGGGUUGGAAAGUUUCGGCGGUUGGGGAUGGACUCGCGGCUUAUCAGCUUGUUGGUGGGGUAGUGGCUUACCAAGGCUUUGACGGGUAGCCGGCCUGAGAGGGUGACCGGCCACAUUGGGACUGAGAUACGGCCCAGACUCCUACGGGAGGCAGCAGUGGGGAAUAUUGCACAAUGGGCGGAAGCCUGAUGCAGCAACGCCGCGUGCGGGAUGACGGCCUUCGGGUUGUAAACCGCUUUCGCCUGUGACGAAGCGUGAGUGACGGUAAUGGGUAAAGAAGCACCGGCUAACUACGU
rnacentral:rRNA from 1 species